GCUUCAGAUGAGAGUGCGACGGGAGAAGGUGACCUCCGAGAUCUCGAAGGAAACAGAUGACGACGAAGACAGUGAUGGCCACGGAGGAGCUCAGAACGAUGGAGAGGCAACGGCUGCUAGGAUCCUUGGUACUUCUCAACCCAAAUGGUAUAGGCUGUGCGACAAGCUCUGCGGCAAGCUGUGCGGCAACCACUGAUCCAUUACUUACAAUCGUCUGGUCGUCAAGCAUCUACAACCAUCACAAAUUGUAGAGGGAUCGUUGUUCGUCAAAAUUGAAGACACAAUCCAUAAAUUUUUUCUAACGUCAAUGAUAAAUUUGAUCACUGUAAUUAAUGGUGUGGUGAGUUAAAUAAUAUUGUGUUAAUUACUUAAUCCAUGGCAGGACAGGUUCGUACCAUUAUGUCGACCGAAAUACGACUCAGUCAAAUUAUUCAAAUGUCCCUCCAGGGCAUCCACGAAUUUUCGUUGGAGUUGAAACGCCAAGCUAAAUUAACGAGAGCGCUCGAAAAAUUUAUUACUUUGAGUGACGCAAUCGUGUCUAUGGUAACCACAGACAUUUGUCUCGUGUCAGUGAGCACUAAUCUUUUGAGAGGAGCGUCUGGGUAAAAAAAUCGAUAAAUUUGGCUUUUCCGUUUUCUUGGCUCAUUUCGUAGGUGCUGAAAAGGCGCAUCUAACGCAGUAAACCGUAUGUAUGCGUACUUCAGUUUUUGCUGAAAGAAAUUUCAAAAAUAUAUAAAUGAACACUUUUUAUUAAUAUGUACAAAGAUUUUUUCAAAUUUAAUCGGUAUUUAUAGAACAUUAUUUUCGUUAAUUGCAAAGUGUUCGCACUCGUUUGAAGCUACAGACAAGACGCGUUUAAUAAAGCUAAUAUCAUGGAUAUACAUGCAAUAAUUUUUGCGCAAGGCUGUUUUGAACUUCAAUAAAAGACCAU